UUUUAAAUGGCCGCAGUAUUUUGACUGUGCAAAGGUAGCAUAAUCAUUAGUUUUUUAAUUAAAAGCUUGUAUGAAAGGCUGGACGAGGUAAAAUCUGUCUCUAUUUAAAUUAUAGUAGAAUUUAACUUUUAAGUUAAAAGGCUUAAAUAUUAUUAAAAGACGAGAAGACCCUAUAGAUCUUUAUAGUUUAUUAAAUUAAAUUAAUUUAGAAAUAUUAAUGUUUUAUUUAGUUAAGUUAUUUUAUUGGGGUAAUAAAAAGAUUAAAUUAAUUCUUUUUUAUAAUAAACAUUAAUUUAUGAAUAUUAAUGAUCCAGUUUUACUGAUUAUAAGAUUAAGUUACCUUAGGGAUAACAGCGUAAUUUUUUUAGAGAGUUCAUAUCGAUAAAAAAGUUUGCGACCUCGAUGUUGGAUUAAAGAUUAUUUUAGGUGUAGAAGCUUAAUAAUUUUGGUCUGUUCGACCAUUAAAUCUUUACAUGAUCUGAGUUCAGACCGGCGUAAGCCAGGUCGGUUUCUAUCUUUAAUAAAAUAAAAUAUUUUAGUACGAAAGGACCAAAUAUUUGAUAUAUUUAUAUUUAAUUUAUUGAAUAUUA
rnacentral:rRNA from 1 species